rnacentral:rRNA from 1 species
GACGAACGCUGGCGGCGUGCUUAACACAUGCAAGUCGAACGAAGUGGCGAACGGGUGAGUAAUACGUGGGUAACCUGCCCUCCUUUUUGGGAUAAGCCUUGGAAACGGGGUCUAAUACCGAAUAAAGGGGGAUGGGCUCGGGGCCUAUCAGCUUGUGGGUGGGGUGUGGGCCUACCAAGGCGGUGAUGGGUAGCCGGCCUGGGAGGGUGACCAGCCACAUUGGGACUGGGAUACGGCCCAGACUCCUACGGGAGGCAGCAGGGGGGGAUAUUGCACAAGGGGCGAAAGCAUGAUGCAGCGACGCCGCGGGGGGGAGGAAGGCUUGCGGGUUGGAAACCUCUUUCGAUAGCGAACGGGUAGGUGGAGAAGAAGCGCCGGCUAACUACGUGCCAGCCGCCGCGGUAAUAC